rnacentral:rRNA from 1 species
GAUAAACGCUGGCGGCGUGCAUGAGACAUGCAAGUCGAACGGACGAUCGGGGCUUGCUCCGAUCGUUAGUGGCGGACGGCUGAGUAACGCGUGGGUGACCUGCCCCGAAGUGGGGGAUAACGGCCCGAAAGGGUUGCUAAUACCGCAUGUGGCGACGUGUUCGGUCACGUCAUCAAAGCCGCAAGGCGCUUCGGGAGGGGCCUGCGUCCGAUUAGCUCGUUGGUGGGGUAACGGCUCACCAAGGCGACGAUCGGUAGGUGGUCUGAGAGGACGAUCACCCAGACUGGGACUGAGACACGGCCCAGACUCCUACGGGAGGCAGCAGUCGGGAAUUUUGCUCAAUGGGGGAAACCCUGAAGCAGCAACGCCGCGUGAGGGAUGACGGCCUUCGGGUUGUAAACCUCUUUUCUCAGGGACGAUGAUGACGGUACCUGAGGAAUAAGCCACGGCUAACUACGUGCCAGCCGCCGCGGUAAAAC